rnacentral:rRNA from 1 species
AGUUCGGCUGGAUCGGAGACAGGUGGCUGCAUGGCUGUCGUCAGCUCGUAUCGUGAGAUGUUGGGUUAAGUCCCGCAACGAGCGCAACCCCUAUUGUUAGUUGCCAUCAUUGAGUUGGGCACUCUAGCGAGACUGCCGGUAAUAAACCGGAGGAAGUGGGGAUGACGUCAAAUCAUCAUGCCCCUUAUGACCUGGGCUACACACGUGCUACAAUGGCUGGUACAACGAGUCGCAAGCCGGUGACGGCAAGCUAAUCUCUUAAAGCCAGUCUCAGUUCGGAUUGUAGGCUGCAACUCGCCUACAUGAAGUCGGAGUCGCUAGUAAUCGCGGAUCAGCACGCCGCGGUGAAUACGGUUCCCGGGCCUU